rnacentral:rRNA from 1 species
UGGAUCCAGACUUUGAUUAUGGCUCAGGAUGAACGCUAGCUACAGGCUUAACACAUGCAAGUCGAGGGGCAGCAUGAAGUUUGCUUGCAAACUUUGAUGGCGACCGGCGCACGGGUGAGUAACGCGUAUCGAACCUGCCUCAUACCCGGGGAUAGCCUUGCGAAAGUAAGAUUAAUACCCGAUGUUUCCGGCGCGCCGCAUGACGUGUCGGGCAAAGAUUUAUCAGUAUGAGAUGGCGAUGCGUCCCAUUAGCUUGUUGGCGGGGUAACGGCCCACCAAGGCAUCGAUGGGUAGGGGUUCUGAGAGGAAGGUCCCCCACAUUGGAACUGAGACACGGUCCAAACUCCUACGGGAGGCAGCAGUGAGGAAUAUUGGUCAAUGACGAGAGUCUGAACCAGCCAAGUAGCGUGCAGGAAGACGGCCCUCCGGGUUGUAAACUGCUUUUAGUUGGGAAUAAAGUGCAUCACGUGUGAUGUUUUGUAUGUACCAUCAGAAAAAGGACCGGCUAAUUCCGUGCCAGCAGCCGCGGUAAUACGGAAGGUCCGGGCGUUAUCCGGAUUUAUUGGGUUUAAAGGGAGCGCAGGCGGGCGUUUAAGUCAGUUGUGAAAUGCGGCGGCUCAACCGUCGAACUGCAGUUGAUACUGGACGCCUUGAGUGUACACAGGGAUGCCGGAAUUCAUGGUGUAGCGGUGAAAUGCUCAGAUAUCAUGAAGAACUCCGAUCGCGAAGGCAGGCAUCCGGGGUGCAACUGACGCUGAGGCUCGAAAGUGCGGGUAUCAAACAGGAUUAGAUACCCUGGUAGUCCGCACAGUAAACGAUGAAUACUCGCGGUUGGCGAUAUAUUGUCAGCCGCCAAGCGAAAGCGUUAAGUAUUCCACCUGGGGAGUACGCCGGCAACGGUGCAACUCAAU